rnacentral:rRNA from 1 species
CCUACGGGAGGUUGCAGUAAGGAAUAUUGGUCAAUGGAGGAAACUCUGAACCAGCCAUCCCGCGUGAAGGAUGAAGGGGCUCUGCCUUGUAAACUUCUUUUGUCUGGGGCGAAAAAGCUCGAUUUAUCGAGAACUGACGGUACCAGAAGAAUAAGCACCGGCUAACUCCGUGCCAGCAGCCGCGGUAAUACGGAGGGUGCAGGCGUUACCCGGAUUCACUGGGGUGUAAGCGGGCUAAGACGGCUGUGGUGAAAGGCUGUGGCUUAACCAUGGAAUUGCCAUUGAUACUGCAGGGCUUGAGUGAGGUUGAGGUUGGCGGAAUGUGACAUGUAGCGGUGAAAUGCUUAGAUAUGUCAUGGAACACCGAUUGCGAAGGCAGCUGACUGGACCUAUAUUGACGCUGAGGCACGAAAGCGUGGGGAGCGAACAGGAUUAGAUACCCUUGUAGUC